rnacentral:rRNA from 1 species
AGCGAACGCUGGCGGCAGGCCUAACACAUGCAAGUCGAACGAAGUCUUCGGACUUAGUGGCGGACGGGUGAGUAACACGAGGGAACGUGCCUUUUGGUUCGGAAUAACUCAGGGAAACUUGUGAUAAUACCGAAUGUGCCCUUCGGGGGAAAGAUUUAUCGCCUUUAGAGCGUCCCGCGUCUGAUUAGCUAGUUGGUGAGGUAAAGGCCCACUAAGGCGACGAUCAGUAGCUGGUCUGAGAGGAUGAUCAGCCACAUUGGGACUGAGAACCGGCCCAAACUCCUACGGGAGGCAGCAGUGGGGAAUCUUGCGAAAUGGGCGAAAGCCUGACGCAGCCAUGCCGCGUGAAUGAUGAAGGUCUUAGGAUUGUAAAAUUCUUUCACCGGGGACGAUAAUGACGGUACCCGGAGAAUAAGCCCCGGCUAACUUCGUGCCAGCAGCCGCCGUAAUAC